CGUUGAUUUCUUGGAGUGAUUCAAACCUAGGAAGCCUGCUACUUGUGCAAGCAACAGGGUAACAAGUUUCAGUUUUCUUACUGAUGCACCUCAAUUUGCAAGUUGUGCGAAUACUUUGUUUGCACUUUAGUGGGACUGAAAUUUUCCUGCUACCAUGUGUCAUGGUAGUAGGCUGCUGCGGCAAAAAACCGGUAAGCCCCCUAACGGAAGAAAAUUGAAAAAAGUCUCAUCCUGCUUACCAUGUUUUAUCUUAAAAUUUUGGCUUGAAUUUUUUUUCUGUAUAACCUAUAUCUCUGCAUGGUUACUUUCUCCACACAUGCUUUAGCUGCAGCAUUGGUCAAGUGGCUUGAACACAACUCACGUGAGUCAUCGCCAAAUGGCCCUUUUCUGAAAUUCAUUCUCUUAUGCACUGAGAGAGGAGUUACUCCAUGACAGUAUGUAUACAUACAGAUGCAAGCAAUGGAGAAACUCAUGCAGAUGAUGACUGAACAAUUUUUCAUGAAUUUUCCAACCUGAAUUGGUUACAGAGGUUGGGAAAAGAGGAAUCUAGGCUCUGAUGAACACAUGUUCUUUCGCAGGUGACUAACAGUUGGCACCUCCAUCUUUACAUUACAUCAGGCCAGCGCUACAAAGCCCAUAAACCAAUUCAACUAGACCAGGACUAUGUUUAUUAGUCCUCCAGUGUUUAUUGGAAUGAGAUGACACAUGGUAUGCCAGCUAACAAGCAACUGAAGCAAGAAGAUUUUUGUAAUUUCUUGGAAAGAAUGAGCCCCUGAACCCAGGAUGGCGAAGGAUCCAAUAUGUCAGGACCAAUGAGGGAAUUGCAGAGCUUCAUAUUCAGUUUAUUUUAGGUGCUUGCCUACUUCAAGUGUCUAGAUUACAGGAAACAUGUUUCUUCAAGUGUCUACUUCAAGUAAGUUUCUUAUAGAAGUAGUCAGUUUGAUUCCUUCAAAAUAGUUGUUGCCUGAUAAUUUGUGUAUGACUAAAUAGCAGUACCUCAAA